rnacentral:rRNA from 1 species
GACGAACGCUGGCGGCGUGCUUAACACAUGCAAGUCGAACGAUGAAGCAAAGAUUUGGUGCUUCGGCAGAAAUUCAAUUGGGAUUAGUGACCGACGGGUGAGUAACGCGUGAGCAACCUACCUCUUACAAAGGGAGAGCCACGGGAGACCGGGAGUAAUACCAGAUAACAGUGCGACGAAGCAUUUCGGUGCAAUCAAAGCUACGGCGGUAAGAGAUGGGCGCGCGUCAGCUUGACGGGAUGGAGAGGUAACGGCUCAACAUAGUAACGAUGGGUGACCGGGCUGGGAGCGUGACCCGUCACACUGGAACUGCGACACGGUCCAGACUCGUACGGGAGGCAGGAGUAGGGAAUAUUGCACGAGGGAGCGAACUCUGGUGCUGCGACGCGGGGUAAGUGAUGAAGGGAUUCGUAUCGUAAUUCUCUGUUCUAUGAGAAGAAAGUGACGGUACCGUAUGAGAAAGCACCGGCUAACUACGUG